rnacentral:rRNA from 1 species
GAUGAACGCUAGCGAUAGGCUUAACACAUGCAAGUCGAGGGGCAGCAUGGUCUUAGCUUGCUAAGACUGAUGGCGACCGGCGCACGGGUGCGUAACGCGUAUGCAACUUGCCUCACAGAGGGGGAUAACCCGUCGAAAGACGGACUAAUACCGCGUACACUUGGGAUAGGGCAUCCUGACCCAAGGAAAUGAAAUUCGCUGUGAGAUAGGCAUGCGUCCCAUUAGCUAGUUGGUGAGGUAACGGCUCACCAAGGCGACGAUGGUUAGGGGAACUGAGAGGUUGAACCCCCACACUGGUACUGAGACACGGACCAGACUCCUACGGGAGGCAGCAGUGAGGAAUAUUGGUCAAUGGGCGAGAGCCUGAACCAGCCAAGUCGCGUGAAGGAUGACUGUCUUAUGGAUUGUAAACUUCUUUUAUACGGGAAUAACAAGAGCCACGUGUGGCUCCCUGCAUGUACCGUAUGAAUAAGCAUCGGCUAACUCCGUG